AAUAGAUACCCCGGUAGUCCACGCCCUAAACGAUGUCAACUAGUUGUCGGGUCUUAAUUGACUUGGUAACGCAGCUAACGCGUGAAGUUGACCGCCUGGGGAGUACGGUCGCAAGAUUAAAACUCAAAGGAAUUGACGGGGACCCGCACAAGCGGUGGAUGAUGUGGAUUAAUUCGAUGCAACGCGAAAAACCUUACCUACCUUUGACAUGGCAGGAAUCCCGGAGAGAUCCGGGAGUGCCCGAAAGGGAACCUGCACACAGGUGCUGCAUGGCUGUCGUCAGCUCGUGUCGUGAGAUGUUGGGUUAAGUCCCGCAACGAGCGCAACCCUUGUCAUUAGUUGCUACGAAAGGGCACUCUAAUGAGACUGCCGGUGACAAACCGGAGGAAGGUGGGGAUGACGUCAAGUCCUCAUGGCCCUUAUGGGUAGGGCUUCACACGUCAUACAAUGGUACAUACAGAGGGCCGCCAACCCGCGAGGGGGAGCUAAUCCCAGAAAGUGUAUCGUAGUCCGGAUUGCAGUCUGCAACUCGACUGC
rnacentral:rRNA from 1 species